UGCGCUUUAUACAUCAAUUUUGUAUUUUAAAAGUAGAUGUAUAAGCAAAAUUUUGAUGUUUUGGUUAAAAAUCAACAUUUUGUAAGCUAAAGUUGAUAAGCUAAUGUACGCUCUUAUCCCUAACAGAUGGUAUCGAUACAAAGGUCUACUUUUCUAGUUCCGAUUAUGAGCAUGGUUUCUCAUUCUAUAAAUAUAAACUUUCAAAAUACGUCACUACCUCUUUUUUUUUUCCUAUAUCCUCAUAUACACACGCACUAAGCCAUAUUUACGCAUGCGCACUAUCAAAGCUACAUUGGUAACUAUGACAACAAAAUUUGCACGCAUGCGCACAUGACGUGAACCGGUCCUUCUUCUGUAAACAAAGCUUCCUUCACAUCAACACUCGAUUCAUUAUUCAAACUCAGAAAUGCCAACAAAAGGUUAGAUCUAUAUGUUUGGAAAGAAAAAAACGUUACUGUAAGCCCAGAGGAAGACAUGCUUCAAAGACAAAUGCAUAAUUACAAAGCUCUGUUUUGGAUACAGCUGGAUCUGAAGCAGCAACAACGCAGCCUGCAAGUGCAGCUGAACGAAAAAUAAUUCUAACUGCAAUUACUAACGCUGAUAACACCAAUAAGAGGCUGCCUGAAGAUUUCAUAUACGUCAUGAUGAAUUCAAUGGAAUUGACCACAAUGGUCUCCUUGUUGUGCUGUCCACAUUGCUUCGACAAAAAAUUAACCAUGUGCAUCACACAAUCAAAAGGCAUGGCUCAUUUGAUUAAAAUCAAAUGCCUAAAUUGUGAAACAUAUUUGUGGCCUGACUGGACCUCAAAAAAAAGUAAUAAUGUUCAUCUGGAUAUUAAUGUCCGCGCUGUCGCUGCAUUAAAAGAAUCUGGAAUCUCGCAUUCUAAAUUUGAUAGGUUUUGUGGACUUAUGAGUAUGCCCUGCAUGCACAGAAAUACUUAUAACAAUCUAGCUAACUUAGUCAACACUGCUAUAAUUGAAGCUGGUGAAGAAUGUAUGAUUAGGGCAUCUGCUGUUGUGCAUGGAAGAAACAUUUCACAACCUCUGACUACAGAUGAUAGAAUAAGUUCAACAGGCUGUUCUGUUAUUACAGUUUCUUUUGAUGGGACUUGGCAUAAAAGGGGCCACUCAUCUCAUUCAGGAAUUGGCAGUUAUUGAUUUUGAUACUGGACUCGCCAUCGACACCGAAGUCCUAUCAAAUUAUUGCUGUGUUUGUGUUUCAAACUCUGCAGAACUAAAUUUUGAUGCCUCUAAGCAUAUGUGUCAAAAAAACUUCAGUGGCUCAGCAAAUGCAAUGGAGGCCGCAGCAGCAUCCAAAAUUUGUUCUCACUCUGUGGCAUCAGAAAACUUGUUUAUGGCAUGAUGCUGUGUGAUGGUGAUAGUAAAUCACAUUCAUCUGCCAUUACCAGCUCAGGAUAUGAUGUAGAAAUCUUAAAAGAGGACUGCAUUAACCACAUCUCAAAAAGAAUGUUUAAUGCUUUGAACAAUUUAAAAAUGUCUAACAAAAAAGAACUAAAUUAUAGGCCAAAAAUUGAAAAAAAUUACAAAUAACUAUUCCAAAGUUCUGCGCCAAAAUGCUCCUGACAUUCAAAAAAAUGAAGCUGGCUGUUAUGGGCUCAUUUUUUCAUAUGAUGAGCUCAGACCUAGAUCAUAACCACAGGUUGUGUCCUGAUGGCACUACAUCUUGGUGUCACACUUUAAGAGAUCAGAGGCACUAAAACAGCCAUACAAAAAACAUAAUCAGACCAUCACAUCAGAAAUAGGAAAACUGUUAUUUCCUAUAACAGACACAGAUCUGUUAAAAACAUGUUCAAGAAUGGGAACACAAAACGCCAAUGAAUCUUUUCAUUCCCUCAUUUGGCAAAGAUGCCCCAAAACAGAAUUCGCAACAUUAAAAACUAAGGACGGCGACAUACCUUGCUGUUUUAGCCUUCAAUAUUGGACCUGUUGGCAUCAGUUUUUGACAUAUUAGGCAUUCCCUGGACACUAAAGAACAUUUCUUCUAGUGAGAAAAAGCAAAAUGUCAAACUACAGCUUGUUGUUAGAAAAAGAUCAAUCACAUAAGUGUCCAGGAGAAAAAAAUUGAAAAAACGAAGAUUUGAGCAUGAGCACCGGGCAGAGGUUCUCGAAGGUCCAACCUAUCAA